CAAACACAGACUAUGGACUAUGUGCCAGAUUCCCCAGCUCCCCUGGGGGCAGCCCUCCGCCCUAAGAGAAACUGAGAAGUGCAUGAGUCAGCACAUUCAUUCUCUGCCUCACCUCGCCUGCCUGCCUGCCUGCCUGCCUGCCUGCCUGCCUGGGAUCAGAAUUAGCCAACACCCAUUCCAAACACACUGGUUACACCAUCCACCUCCACCCAGCUCUGCCUGCAAGGGUGGCACCUGUUUUGCCACACCCUCUCUGCAGCUUUAAACCUCCCACGGAAGCACAGAAACAGAUUAACCUGGCCCACUGGAAGCACCUCCAACUCUCAGGAGUCAGAUAAGUGAGGACUGGUUUUUACGGUGCUUACUUCUGAAACGACUGGAGGCUGCUGUUUACAAUAAGAAACAAAGAAACAAUCCACUCUCAAGGCCUGGAAUGGAAGAACAGUAACAAUGUAAUGAAGUCCAUGCAUGUGCCUUUGCUUGGCAGCAGGCAAGAAUUCCUUGUGUCAGGAAUCCUGAUUUAAACCAGGCUGGGUGGGUUAAGCCUGUAAUCCCAGCACUCUGGGAGGCCCAGGCGUGAGGGUAGCUUGAGGCCAAGAGUUGGAGACCAGCCUGGUCAACAUAGCAAGACCUUGUCUCUACAGAAACUAAAAAAAUGAGGCAGGCAUGUUGGUGUGUUCCUGUAGUCCCAGCUACCUGGAAUGCUGAGGUGGGAAGAUCUUUUGAGACCAGGAAUUCGAGGUUGCAGGGGGCUAUGAUCAUGCCGCUGCACUCCAGGCUGGGUGACAGAGCAAGACCCCUUCUCAACCAAUAAAAAAAAAAAAAAAGAAAGAAAGAUAAAGAAAAGAAGUCCUGAUUUAGAAAGAAUACUAUAAUUUACACAAAAUCUUGUACUGAGCCUCCUAGGAAGCAAGGGGGAAAAUGGUUUAUGCUGCUCUCUUUAUCAGAUGUUAAAAAGCAUACCAUACCUUCUCAGGCACCAAAACUCUUAGCAAUUUUUUUCUAACCUAGAGAAGGGCUUCAAAAAAUAAGUGUGAGGCCGGGUGCGGUGGCUCGUGCCUGUAAUCCCGGCACUUUGGGAGGUCAAGGCGGGCGGAUCACCUGAGGUCAGGAGUUGGAGACCAGCCUGGCCAACAUGGUGAAACCCUGUCUCUACUAAAAAAUACAAAAAUUAGCUGGGCGUGGUGGUGCACGCCUGUAAUCCUGGCUACUAGGGAGGCUGAAGCACGAGAAUUGCUUGAACCCAGGAGGCAGAGAUUGCGGUGAGUAGAGAUGGCACCACUGCACUCCAGCCUGGGCGACAUAAUGAGACUCUGUCAAAAAAAAAAAAAAAAGGUGGAGGGAAGAAGGGAAAGCAAACUUACUCCUAGCCUUGAUACCUUCACUACUAAACACUAAUCAAUUAUCAGCUGGGGAGAGCAUCAAAUAAGCAUGGGCACUGGCAUCCAUGGAAAGUUUUACAACAUAUGCAGAGUUAUUUUCCCUGUGAUGGUUUCAGAAUCACCUGUGAAGCCUGCAAAAAUGCAAAUUGCUGAUCCCAUCCCCAGACCCACAGAAAUGGAAUCUCUCAGGGGAUAGACCCUGGAAGCUGCAUUUCCUUUGUAUUCCCCACGGAAUUCUUGGGCAUCCUAAAGUUAGAGAACUGUUCCAGAACUUCUUUACGCUUGAAAGGGAAGCUGCAUUUCAACUUGGACCCUGGGAGAGUAGCUCCCCUUUCCCUCACUACUGUGACUUUGAGCAGCCAAAGAGGAUCCCACUCCCAGGACCACGCCAGCUCUAAUGAAACUAGAUGUUUGUAAAUCAAGCCUGCCCACAUUGCAAACGUUCACCCCACCCCGCCCCGCCCCACCCCGCCAUCCCCACUGUGUUAGUCCCAGUCCUCUGAGAAACAGAGAUUAAGAAAGGAUUAAACAGGAAAAGAUUUUGUUGGAGGAAAUGCAUAUAUGACAGAAAGUAAGAAGGAGCAGACCAGGCUACAGUGUGAGUCUGACCCCAAAGAGGGUCACCAAAUUUGUCAAAUAGCCAGGAUAAUCAGGUAAAUAUGAAUUUCAGAUAAACAACAAAUAAUCUUUUUAGUAUAAGAAUAUCCCAUGCAAUGUUUGAGCCAUACUUACACGAAUAAUUCUUUGUUUAUCUAGUAUUCAGAUUUUCCUGGGCGUCCUGUGUUGCAUCUGGCAACCCUGACUCCCAGUGAAGGAGAAAGGCAGGCUGAGUAGGAGCACCCUGGACUGCUGUGCCGUCUAGGGGAGGUUCAGUAAAGUCAUCGGGGAAUCCUUGAGCCAAAGGUAGGGGAGGAAUCCCCCAGCUUCCAGGCUCGGGCCAGCUUUAGUAUCCCUGCUGCACUCCGUCUUGACGUCAGCACAAGCCAGGGGAUGGAUUCUAGAGCCAGGGGGGCCCUGGGCCAGCUGUACUGCCGUAACUGGAGGCCUGCGAGGCAAACCCUCAUGCCACCACACCCCAAUGCAAAGCCCAGAGUGGCAGAAGGCUCGGCAGAGGCUGCCAGUGGUCACCUGUGUUCUAGCCUCAGCUUGACCUCCUUGAAACUAGGUCAGGAAAAACCACCUCUCCCCCAGUUUUCCCAGCUGGCUCACAGAUACCCUAGAGAGAUAAAUGAGGUGAUGAGACUAAGUACUUCUUGGUCCUCAGAUCAAAGGUUCUGUAUGCUGAGCGCUGGAUGAGUCUUUCAUGGGGACUGGAUCUUCUGGUCAGAGACACUCUGCCUCACCCCUACAGAGACACCUCCAACUCUACUUGGUGGAUGUGGCCAAUUGAACCUCUUUUCCACAAAUGUGAACUUCUGAGACACCAAGUCCCACAGGUCUCAGAGCAUCUCUCACCCAUCCCUGGAAAUGGAACUGAGAUGCUUGAAGAAGCCGAGAGGAGAUUUGGAGGGCAGAACUGGCCAGGAGUUCCAGGCCUGGGCAAGAGGUGUGCAGCAUGAGAGUAGGGGAGCGUCCCCUUGAGUGGCAGAAUGACACAGGGGUCCUUAAUCAGCAGCACUCCUGAGGCCAUCUGCAAGCCGGGGAACAGCUGUAUAGACUGUGGGGUUUUAAAACAAACCCUUAAUUUGUCUGAUACAUCUCGCUUUAUACAGUGGGACGAAUUCCCCUUGCCUUAAGUGUGGGUGUCCUUAGUGACUUGCUUCUAACUAAUAAAAUGUGCAGAAGAGGUGGUGUGUGAUGUCAAGAUUGGGACAUACAAGGCAUUUUGGCUUCCUACUUGCUGUCUCUCUUGGGCUUCUUGCUCUGGGGGAAGCCAGCUGCCAAAUCAUGGGCAUAAUCAAGCAGCCCUAGGAACAACACAGUGGCAAGGAACCGAAGCCUCCAGUCAUGAGGGGUGUGAGUGAUCUGCUUGGUAUUCGAUCCUCCAGCCCCGGUUGAGCCUUUAGAUGACUGCAUCCCUGGCUGAUAACUUGACUACAACUUCACGAGAGACCCUGAGCCAGAACCACUCGGCUAAGCUGCUUCUGAAUUCCUGACCCACUGAAACUGCGGGAUAGUAAAUGUUUG
rnacentral:lncRNA from 1 species